GCGCACUUUGCUCAAUGGAAGAGCAUCACUCAUGAAAGUUGAGGUUGUGGGUUUGAUUCCCACAGUGCACA
rnacentral:tRNA from 1 species